ensembl:lncRNA
GAAUGUUGUAAGUAAAUUCAGGGCUGAACAACAGACCAAAUGGGAGCCGUCCGAGCUGCCCACGUUACAGGUCUGAGGCUGGAUGGAGCUCAGAGCCUCCCUUCCCACCUGUCUGGGUCAGCCAGUGUGUGGGCAGCUGGCACUGCCCCCACCCCGUUCUUCUGGUCUGUGUGCAUGCAGCAGCUUUCACAGCCCCAAGCUCACCGCUUUUGGCCAGAACUGAAUUCACGUGUAAGCACCUACCAGGAAAAAAAGAAAUGUCUGACGCUGAGGAGACUGUAGCACCAAGGGGGCAUGGGAAGGAUGGGAGCACCGGGAGCAGAGCCCAGGAGGAUGCUCCCUUGCCCUGCUGGGUGCUGUUCCCAGUUCUCCCACUGCGCCUUAUGGCACGUUCAUCAGCAGGUGCAUCUGCAGACGUGUGCGGUCAGCCGUUCCAAGAAGGAAAUCACCAUCAGAGAUGCAGAGAAGAAUCAGCCUUUGGUAGGAAAUCACCUCAACUGCUCUCAAGUAGAAAAGGUGCUGCCCCGAGAGGAACCUUUCCGGUUUCGGUUUGCUGCAUUUUCUUCUGAAAAAGAGUGGAAAGUGAGAAGUCCUGGAAGAAUCUCCCAUGGGAAGGCAACGAUGCAGUUACCACUUCCAGCUCCUAUUUGUGCAGAUUUUAAUCAAAACUGCCCAUCAAAGGGGAAAAAAGGACCCCAGAGGCCUUUCUGUAAAUGUCCUCAUGGAACCAGUUGUACUCCUGUGCUUGUAAAUCUCCCCUCUGGCAGUAAGGGAGCAGUGAAUGCCCUGUGCUUCGUGUGGGAUCUGCAGCUAUCCUGUAAGGAAUGCUGCAGCGUUGGAACCGGGGAUGGGCUGCAGUAAGGACACAUUCCUAGGAGCCACAAAGGGUUUGCUGAUAGGGAUCAGGGGCCAUAUAGCCCCUGGCUGCGCUCCAGAGGUGACCACACCGUGGCUAGAGAAAUAAGACCCCCCAGCCCCAAAGCUGUCCAAGCCUGCUGUGAACUGUUUUCAGUAAACCUCAAAAGCCUGAUCUUCUGUACUGCUCCUGUUUACCUUGUCGCCAGUAAACUUCUUGCAUCCGAGACAUUAUUGAAUACCUGGCACACGGAGGCACCUCCUCCUCCCAUUUAUCCCUCUGCACUUUAUUUGCUCUCAUAUCCCUAUAGGUAGCAUUUCUUUACCAUCAGUGGAACAACCAAGUUGCCUCCUGCAGGGGAGUCCAGGUUCACGGUGUGUGCUCGGGGUUACUGAACAGCACCAGAGCUGUUAUUGGCUUCCAGUCAUGCAUGAGAAAACUAAUUGAAGUGCAGACAUUUGGUCUGUCCCACCCUUGAUACAUUACUUAUUUUUCCAGCUCUGAGCUGUUUACACAGCACCUGACAAAGCUGAACUGAAGCAACGGAUUGAGGGGCUGGGGAACGAUGCUGUUUGUAUGGUACUGGAGGAAUCAGGGUUAGCAGGGCACUGAAGGGAAACACUGCCAGUUCACAUACAGUGUACCACUGCCCCUUUAGCACAGCACAGAUUUCAUUAUCCAGGUGGAUAAUAGGAGGAAAGGGAGGGCUAACCUCUAGAAGCCAGAACACAGAUAAGCGAGCUUGCCAGUGUUAGGAGGGGGUGAGCUGGCUCGGACCAGGUACUUUAGGAAUCAGUUUGAAUCCCCUCCAAACCUUGUGUUUUUGGGCCCAGGCAGACAAAGCAAUGCAAUCUUUCAAGCGUUCUCUGUGUUGACACAAACUGCUAAGCUUUGUGCAUGCCAAGAUAAAAAGAGGCAGCUUCCACUAGUCCAUUAUUCAGUGCUAGACAGCUUGAUUAUGAUGGAAACAAAAGACACUUUUGCAAUAUUGACAUUGUGAUCUAU